CGGCAAGGGGGUCAUCCCGACUUACCAACCCGAUGCAAACUGCGAAUACCGGAGAAUGUUAUCACGGGAGACACACGGCGGGUGCUAACGUCCGUCGUGAAGAGGGAAACAACCCAGACCGCCAGCUAAGGUCCCAAAGUCAUGGUUAAGUGGGAAACGAUGUGGGAAGGCCCAGACAGCCAGGAUGUUGGCUUAGAAGCAGCCAUCAUUUAAAGAAAGCGUAAUAGCUCACUGGUCGAGUCGGCCUGCGCGGAAGAUGUAACGGGGCUAAACCAUGCACCGAAGCUGCGGCAGCGACACUGUGUGUUGUUGGGUAGGGGAGCGUUCUGUAAGCCUGCGAAGGUGUGCUGUGAGGUAUGCUGGAGGUAUCAGAAGUGCGAAUGCUGACAUAAGUAACGAUAAAGCGGGUGAAAAGCCCGCUCGCCGGAAGACCAAGGGUUCCUGUCCAACGUUAAUCGGGGCAGGGUGAGUCGACCCCUAAGGCGAGGCCGAAAGGCGUAGUCGAUGGGAAACAGGUUAAUAUUCCUGUACUUGGUGUUACUGCGAAGGGGGGACGGAGAAGGCUAUGUUGGCCGGGCGACGGUUGUCCCGGUUUAAGCGUGUAGGCUGGUUUUCCAGGCAAAUCCGGAAAAUCAAGGCUGAGGCGUGAUGACGAGGCACUACGGUGCUGAAGCGACAAAUGCCCUGCUUCCAGGAAAAGCCUCUAAGCAUCAGGUAACAUCAAAUCGUACCCCAAACCGACACAGGUGGUCAGGUAGAGAAUACCAAGGCGCUUGAGAGAACUCGGGUGAAGGAACUAGGCAAAAUGGUGCCGUAACUUCGGGAGAAGGCACGCUGAUAUGUAGGUGAAGCGACUUGCUCGUGGAGCUGAAAUCAGUCGAAGAUACCAGCUGGCUGCAACUGUUUAUUAAAAACACAGCACUGUGCAAACACGAAAGUGGACGUAUACGGUGUGACGCCUGCCCGGUGCCGGAAGGUUAAUUGAUGGGGUCAGCGCAAGCGAAGCUCUUGAUCGAAGCCCCGGUAAACGGCGGCCGUAACUAUAACGGUCCUAAGGUAGCGAAAUUCCUUGUCGGGUAAGUUCCGACCUGCACGAAUGGCGUAAUGAUGGCCAGGCUGUCUCCACCCGAGACUCAGUGAAAUUGAACUCGCUGUGAAGAUGCAGUGUACCCGCGGCAAGACGGAAAGACCCCGUGAACCUUUACUAUAGCUUGACACUGAACACUGGUCCUUGAUGUGUAGGAUAGGUGGGAGGCUUUGAAGUGUGGACGCCAGUCUGCAUGGAGCCGUCCUUGAAAUACCACCCUUUAAUGGCUGGUGUUCUAACGUGGGCCCGUAAUCCGGGUUGCGGACAGUGUCUGGUGGGUAGUUUGACUGGGGCGGUCUCCUCCUAAAGAGUAACGGAGGAGCACGAAGGUUGGCUAAUCCUGGUCGGACAUCAGGAGGUUAGUGCAAUGGCAUAAGCCAGCUUGACUGCGAGCGUGACGGCGCGAGCAGGUGCGAAAGCAGGUCAUAGUGAUCCGGUGGUUCUGAAUGGAAGGGCCAUCGCUCAACGGAUAAAAGGUACUCCGGGGAUAACAGGCUGAUACCGCCCAAGAGUUCAUAUCGACGGCGGUGUUUGGCACCUCGAUGUCGGCUCAUCACAUCCUGGGGCUGAAGUAGGUCCCAAGGGUAUGGCUGUUCGCCAUUUAAAGUGGUACGCGAGCUGGGUUUAGAACGUCGUGAGACAGUUCGGUCCCUAUCUGCCGUGGGCGCUGGAGAACUGAGGGGGGCUGCUCCUAGUACGAGAGGACCGGAGUGGACGCAUCACUGGUGUUCGGGUUGUCAUGCCAAUGGCACUGCCCGGUAGCUAAAUGCGGAAGAGAUAAGUGCUGAAAGCAUCUAAGCACGAAACUUGCCCCGAGAUGA
rnacentral:rRNA from 1 species